GUGUGCUUUAGAAUCAGUAAUAUCAUCAUCCAGAAUCUCAAUUGCUUCUGCAAGUAUGGUUUCUUUGACUGGUUCAAUGUUCUUUCCUGCUACUGCAACACUCCCAAUACGUUUCUUUACAAAAGCACGACAAAAACGUGGUCCUUUUCUAUAUUUGUUUUUUCUUUUCCCUUUAUUUCUAAUAUCAUCGGUCUGCCUUCUUGGUUCUUGGCCGGCUUUUUGCAAGUGUUUCUAGGACAUUUCAUCUGGAAUUUCGAUCGCAAAGUUUGAUUUACCUUUAAGUUUCUCACUUUAAUGGUGAAAUUCGAUUACUUUGUGAAAUCUUGCCCAUAAAUUCUUCUGGAUUUGCUUCAAAUUGCAUUCUCCAUCAUUCAUAACCUGUAUUCCACCUCAUUUUGGAUGUUGUUUGUGUUUUUGUAAUUUUUGGCCUGAAGAUCGAUCUGGGUGUGCUUCAGAAUCAAUAAUAUCAUCAUCCAGAAUCUCAAUUGCUUCUGCAAGUAUGGUUUCUUUGAUUGGUUCAGUGUUCUUUCCUACUAAUGCACCGCAUGGCUCUACUGGGUCUGUUAGAUUCUCUAUUUGGAGUACGGACACAACCUCUUCGUUCUGCUAUAAUCAGAGAAAGGUUCUCUGCGCUUGU
rnacentral:lncRNA from 1 species